UACGUAGGGUCCGAGCCGUUGUCCGGAAUUUAUUUGGGCGGUAAAGGGCUCGUAGGUCGGUUCGUCACGUUCGGGGAGUGAAAAACUCGGGGCUUAACCCCGAGCCCUGCUUCCGAUACGGGCAGACUAGAGGUAGGCAGGGGGAGAGCGGAACUCCUGGUGUAGCGGUGGAAUGCGCAGAUAUCAGGAAGAACACCGAUGGCGAAGGCAGAUCUCUGGGCCGCAAACUGACGCUGAGGAGCGAAAGCAUGGGGGAGCGGAACAGGA
rnacentral:rRNA from 1 species